rnacentral:rRNA from 1 species
UACGGAGGAUGCAAGCGUUAUCCGGAAUGAUUGGGCGUAAAGCGUCCGCAGGUGGCAAUGUAAGUCUGCUGUCAAAGCGUCUGGCUCAACCAGAUAAAGGCAGUGGAAACUACAUAGCUAGAGUAAGGUAGGGGUAGAGGGAAUUCCUGGUGUAGCGGUGAAAUGCGUAGAUAUCAGGAAGAACACCAGUGGCGAAGGCGCUCUACUGGGCCGUAACUGACACUGAGGGACGAAAGCUAGGGGAGCGAAAGGG